CCCAGCUCAAGUUCCAGAGGAACAAGAGGUCUGUUGCUGAGGAGAGGGCUGGACGCAAGAUUGGUGGACUCAGGGUUCUCAACUCCUACUGGGUGAAUGAGGUAUACUCGGUUUGCAGGAACCUGUAACAAUGGUAUCAUGUGAAUCUCAUCCUAUCUAGUACUAACGCCUUCGUGUUCGUCUUACUAAAAACAGGAUAGCACCUACAAGUACUUUGAGAUCAUCCUUGUUGAUGUGGCCCACACUGCCAUUCGCAAUGACCCAAGGAUCAACUGGCUGUGCAAGGAUGUGCACAAGCACCGCGAACUCCGUGGUCUCACCUCUGCAGGCAAGAAGUACCGUGGUCUGCGUGGCAAGGGCAGUGCUCACCACAAGAACAGGCCCUCGAGGAGGGCUACCUGGAAGCGCAACCAGACCCUCUCCCUCCGCCGCUACCGUUGAGUUCAUAUGUCUUGAUGCUCUCCUACUGUGGAACCUGUCCCAUCCAGACUUCGAUAGUAUUUGGUACCUUUAUUGCAUUGUCGAAUUUUGCU
rnacentral:lncRNA from 1 species